AACGAACGCUGGCGGCGUGGAUAAGACAUGCAAGUCGAACGGGACAGACCGAGUAGCAAUAUUUGGAAUGUUCAGUGGCGAACGGGUGCGUAACACGUGGAUAACAUUCCGGAAGGCGGGGAAUAGCCCAGGGAAACUUGGAUUAAUACCGCAUGUGGCCGCAAGGCUAAAGACGGGGACCGCAAGGCCUGUCACUUUCCGAUUGGUCCGCGGCCUAUCAGCUAGUUGGCGGGGUAAUGGCCCACCAAGGCUACGACGGGUAGCUGGUCUUAGAGACGACCAGCCACACUGGAACUGAGACACGGUCCAGACACCUACGGGUGGCAGCAGUCGAGAAUCUUUCACAAUGGGGGCAACCCUGAUGGAGCGACGCCGCGUGGAGGAUAAGGUCUUCGGAUUGUAAACUCCUGUCAUGCGAGAACAAGGUACUCAGGCUAAUAACCUGAUUGUUUGAUGGUACCGCAAGAGGAAGAGACGGCUAACUCUGUGCCAGCCGCCGCCGUAAUAC
rnacentral:rRNA from 1 species